UACCUCAGUAACGGCGAGUGAAGCGGUAACAGCUCAAAUUUGAAAUCUGGGUCUUUCAGGCUCCGAGUUGUAAUUUGCAGAAGAUGCUUUGGGUGCGGCCCCGGUCUAAGUUCCUUGGAACAGGACGUCAUAGAGGGUGAGAAUCCCGUAUGUGAUCGGUGGCUUGCGCCCGUGUAAAGCUCUUUCGACGAGUCGGGUUGUUUGGGAAUGCAGCUCUAAAUGGGUGGUAAAUUUCAUCUAAAGCUAAAUAUUGGCCAGAGACCGAUAGCGCACAAGUAGAGUGAUCGAAAGAUGAAAAGCACUUUGGAAAGAGAGUUAAACAGUACGUGAAAUUGUUGAAAGGGAAGCGCUUGCAACCAGACUUGCGCGGGGCUGAUCAUCCGGGGUUCUCCCCGGUGCACUCGGCCUCGCUCAGGCCAGCAUCGGUUUCGGUGGUUGGAUAAAGGCCUUGGGAAUGUGGCCCCUCUCGGGGGGUGUUAUAGCCCUCGGUGCAAUGCAGCCUACCGGGACCGAGGACCGCGCUUCGGCUAGGAUGCUGGCGUAAUGGUUGUAAGCGACCCGUCUUGAAACACGGACCAAGGAGUCUAACAUCUAUGCGAGUGUUUGGGUGUCAAACCCAUACGCGGAAUGAAAGUGAACGGAGGUGAGAACCCUUAAGGGUGCAUCAUCGACCGAUCCUGAUGUCUUCGGAUGGAUUUGAGUAAGAGCAUAGCUGUUGGGACCCGAAAGAUGGUGAACUAUGCCUGAAUAGGGUGAAGCCAGAGGAAACUCUGGUGGAGGCUCGCAGCGGUUCUGACGUGCAAAUCGAUCGUCAAAUUUGGGUAUAGGGGCGAAAGACUAAUCGAACCAUCAAUUGCUAGGUGGCUAAGAGGCCACCCUAACCGGUGGCCUAGUCCUGGGCCUAGGGCAACAUUGUCAAAUUGUUCGGGGACGUCCUGUCAGUGCUGAGCUACCGCAGCCUCUCCGAAAGGGAGGUGCGCACCAGGCGUAAUGGCCUCGGGGACGGUAACAACGCUCAGCUAGGGAUAAUCCGCAGCCAAGCCCUGUCGAGACGCUCCGUGUCUCUAUGGGUGCAGUUCACAGACUAGAUGUCAAUGGGUGCUACGUGAGUAGUGCUUAAGGUAUAGUCGAGCCGCUGAGAGAUCAGUCGAGUGGAUGAAAGGUGCUGGGGGGGCCAUGUAUACUCGUGUAUACAUCCUCAGCACUCGGAGCCACUCGGGGGGUAGAACGAGCACGAUCCAUAGAGGAUGUGCUCUAGUAUAGCCCUGGGAUGAGUAGUAAGAGUUGGCGUCCCUCACGGAUACGUGGCCACGCUGGGCCGUC
rnacentral:rRNA from 1 species